UAUCCUUUGUUGCCAGCGGUCCGGCCGGGAACUCAAAGGAGACUGCCAGUGAUAAACUGGAGGAAGGUGGGGAUGACGUCAAGUCAUCAUGGCCCUUACGACCAGGGCUACACACGUGCUACAAUGGCGCAUACAAAGAGAAGCRACCUCGCGAGAGCAAGCGRACCUCAUAAAGUGCGUCGUAGUCCGGAUUGGAGUCUGCAACUCGACUCCAUGAAGUCGGAAUCGCUAGUAAUCGUGGAUCAGAAUGCCACGGUGAAUACGUUCCCGGGCCUUGUACACACCGCCCGUCACACCAUGGGAGUGGGUUGCAAAAGAAGUAGGUAGCUUAACCUUCGGGAGGGCGCUUACCACUUUGUGAUUCAUGACUGGGGUGAAGUCGUAACAAGGUAACCGUAGGGGAACCUGCGGUUGGAUCACCUCCUUACCUUAAAGAAGC
rnacentral:rRNA from 1 species